UGGCUCAGUGGUAAGAGCACUGACUGCUCUUCCAGAGGUCCUGAGUUCAAUUCUCAG
rnacentral:tRNA from 1 species